CGAGCGGAAACGAUGGGAGCUUGCUCCCAGGCGUCGAGCGGCGGACGGGUGAGUAACGCGUAGGAAUCUACCCAGUAGAGGGGGAUAGCCCGGUGAAAACCGGAUUAAUACCGCAUACGCCCUACGGGGGAAAGGCCGGGAUCUUCGGACCGGUCACUAUUGGAUGAGCCUGCGUAAGAUUAGCUAGUUGGUAGGGUAAAGGCCUACCAAGGCGACGAUCUUUAGCUGGUCUGAGAGGAUGAUCAGCCACACUGGAACUGAGACACGGUCCAGACUCCUACGGGAGGCAGCAGUGGGGAAUAUUGGACAAUGGGGGCAACCCUGAUCCAGCCAUGCCGCGUGUGUGAAGAAGGCCUUAGGGUUGUAAAGCACUUUCAGUAGGGAGAAAGGGUUUGAGGUUAAUAGCCUUGAACAUUGAUGUUACCUACAGAAGCAGCACCGG
rnacentral:rRNA from 1 species